rnacentral:rRNA from 1 species
UACGUAGGGUGCAAGCGUUAAUCGGAAUUACUGGGCGUAAAGCGUGCGCAGGCGGUGAUGUAAGACAGAUGUGAAAUCCCCGGGCUCAACCUGGGAACUGCAUUUGUGACUGCAUCGCUAGAGUACGGCAGAGGGGGAUGGAAUUCCGCGUGUAGCAGUGAAAUGCGUAGAUAUGCGGAGGAACACCGAUGGACGAAGGCAAUCCCCUGGGCCUGUACUGACGCUCAUGCACGAAA